rnacentral:rRNA from 1 species
UACGUAGGUGGCAAGCGUUGUCCGGAAUCACUGGGCGUAAAGCGCGCGCAGGCGGCGAUCUACGUCUGGGGUGAAAGCCCGGAGCUCAACUCCGGGACUGCCUUGGAUACGGGAUCGCUUGAGGAUUGGAGAGGCAAGGGGAAUUCCACGUGUAGCGGUGGAAUGCGCAGAUAUCAGGAGGAACACCAAUGGCGAAGGCAGAUCUCUGGGCCGUAACUGACGCUGAGGAGCGAAAGCAUGGGGAGCGAACAGG